rnacentral:lncRNA from 1 species
CAACUUGGCUUAAGGCCCUCACUUUUGCUAUUUUCACACGAUCCCGUUUAAGUGGUUCAACAACUAGUUCUUUACUUUCCAAGAUGCCACAUGACUGUGUUCCUUUUUUGAAUUAUAACCUUGCUCAAAACCCCAGUAAUCGGGACUUGACAAUUCCUCUGCUAUCUACUCAUGUUCCUUACAGUUGUUUACCUAAAUCUAUCAUUUCUUCUUGUUGCAAGAUUAUUUACAUUUGCAGGGACGCAAAGGAUGCUUUUGUUUCUUUGUGGUACUUUCAUGCCACGUUGCAAAGGUCGAAAAAUGUUGAGCCUCUUCCUCUGGAAGAGGCUUUUGAGCUGUUCUGCAAUGGAAUUGCAAAUUUUGGACCCUACUGGAACCAUGUUUUAGGGUACUGGAGAGCAAGCUUGGAGUUCCCCGAGAAGAUACUGUUCUUGACAUAUGAGGAAAUGAAGAAAGACACCGCUGCUCAUGUUAAGAAAUUAGCUGAGUUCAUGGGUUGUUCUUUCACCCUAGAGGAAGAGGAGGAAGGGGAGGUGCAAAAGAUAAUAGGCAUGUGUAGUUUUGAGAAGUUGAGCAACUUGGAGGUGAAUAAAAAUGGGAAGUGCCUUCUAGACAUAUCAAUUCCUAUUCCAAAUAGUAUAUUCUUCAGGAAAGGUGAGAUAGGCGACUGGGCAAAUCACUUGACACCUGAAAUGGGAGCACGUCUAGAUGACAUAAUGGAGCGGAAGCUCAAGGGUUCAGGCUUGAAGCUGCCCAGGUGACUGUGCCUGGGCCCCGUUUGCUUAUUAUUAUUGGCUUAGUGGGUUCGUCAAAAGCUGUUAUCAACAUCUCGUGAAACAGCAACCGUGUAUCCCAAUAAAUACCCUCUCUGUUCAUCUCUUGUAUUUCCUAGCAAGUAUUCACAUUUUGUGAAUCAUCCAUGUCAAUAAGCAAUAUUCUUUUGUGAAUCUGUGUUUGUAACUUUCAUUGAUUUCCUUGCAAGUUUGUAAGAAUUAAAAAUGGGAUUCGUUUUUUAUUUAUUUAUUUAACACAAGUGCAUGCAUUCCAUUAAUCAGUGAUAAAAAAAAAUAAAAUUACUCUACUAUAUAAUAUUAGAGUGUUUUCUUCACAGAAAUUGCAGUGUGUUUUCUUCACACUGCAAUACAUGUUUUAAAAGAACCGAGACAACCAUACAUGAGGGCGGAGCAAAUACCAACCGAGACAACCAUCCAUUAAGAUUGUUGAAUUGAAGAUCAAAUGAACAUAGGCGGCACAUCUGCUGAAAGGAUCUCGAAAUGCCUUGUAAUUGGUUAAAAUAAAGAUCAAGAUCUGUAGGAGAACUCGUGUUUUCCACUCCUAAAAUAAGCCCAGUUGCCGGCUUCAUGUGCAACAGAGGCACAUAGAGAAUCUCCCCCCCCCCCCCUCCAGGCUCAGAUCACAAAUCUUCUUACUUCAAACCAAUCUUUUGGAACCGAUAUAUAUGUCGAGUGAUGGCUUGAUUUAUACCGGAGAUUGUGUUGGAAAAUUAAAGAAGCAUGGCUUAAUUUGUACCUUGGAUGCGCAAAUUGAUUACAGGAAAAUAUCAAAAAAAAAUUUCCUUUCUUUAUAACUUAUGAAGAGUAAAAUAAAAAAAAAGUUAAUAGUAAAACAAAAUAACCCCAAGUGUACAUUAUCAAUGCAAAACUAGAUUUUUCCUUAUUUUAUAUCCCUUUCUUUUGAUAUACUUCUUCUUUUAUGCCCCUUUCUUUUGGUAUAUCUCUUCUUUGUAUCUUUUGGUGUUAAUCACUUUGUUGAAUGCCUCUGUUGAUAUCUUUUAUAACUCACUACAGUGAUUUGAACAUUGAAAAUGUUUCCUUUUAAAAAAAAAAAAUAGAGAAGGCAUUUUGAUUUCAUCUUCAAUUUUUCUGCAUGUCUUCUUCUUUCAAAGUAUUGGGUUUAAAACACAAUCAUGCUCUACAUCAUGCUUUGAGUUUUCCAGGUUAUUUUCAGAAAGAUUUGAUAUAUUUGACCUGAAAGAAAAAAAGGAUGUACAAAGCUUUGCAUUUCUGGAACGUCUUUUCAUCAUGCUCUACAUGAUUCAAUCACAUUGCUCACAUCUACAUGAGUAACCAGAAAAGCAAGUAUUUCAUCGGAUUCUACAUGAUUCGAUCACUUCGCUCACAGCUUUAUGAGUCUCUGGUGAUAUCGUGUUUAAUUAAAUAGAAUAUUUAUUAUAAGAAACAGAUUUAUCAAAUAUAAUUGAGUAUAUGCCUCAUCAUAUCAAAUAUUUUAAUUAGAUGUAACUAUCUAGGUGGUGGUUCAGUGGUAAAAGUUUGGGACCAAGAUGUUUGUUCCCUCUGUGGUCUCAGGUUCGAGCCCUGUGGUUGCUCAUAUGAUGGUCAUUGGAGGCUUACAUGGUCGUUAACUUCAGGGCCCGUGGGAUUAGUCAAGGUGCACGCAAGCUGAUCCGGACAUCCAUGUUAAACUAAAAAAAUAUAUAUAUUUUAAUUAGAUGCGUGUGUACAAGUAUUUUAAUUUAUGAUUAAGAAUUUUUUUAUAUCAAAAAAAAAUUAAAAAGUCUGUAUAUUUAUUUUUCCUUGUUAAAACAAUUAUCUGAAAUAGCCAGUAAUCAACUAACUAUGAAAGAUAAGAUUGAGAAUUGAGAAGUUUAUUUGUCAGCAGACAGUAGCUUCAGUAGAUGGAAAAAGACUCUCUAGAUCACCGGAUCAAUUCCCACCUUCAUGAACUAUUUUUUAUUAGUACAGAAAGCUUCAUAUCAGUCAAAACUCUCUCUCUCUCUCUCUCUCUCUCUCUCUCUCUCUAAAUGGAUCAGAGACUACACAAAUAUAGAGGUGGAGCUUCACAUUAAGCUUCAGAUCAAUUUUCUAUUUUAAAAUCUCAUAAGUUUGGUCCAUUGAUUGCCCUAGAUUGCCCUAGAUUUUCCUGUGUUUUAUAUCCUUUUCUUUUGACAUUUUUUUUAAUCUUUUUCCAGGCCAAAAUCCUAAUUUAAUGUUUGAAAUUGAGAUGAUAAUUAUUUAACUAGAAAAUAUAUUAAAAUAAUAUUUUUUAUUUUUAAAAAUUUAUUUUAAUCAUCACCACAUUAAAACAAUCUAAAAUUAUAUAAAAAAAUUAAAAUAAUAAGAUUUAAAAAUAUUUUUUAAACACAAAAACAAACACAAUCAUCACUCAUAUAUCAUGAGAUUUGCAUUUAGACAUUAAAAUUCAAGAAGAAAUUAAGUUCACCGUACUAUUAAUUCAGUCGAUGAAGGAUUAGUCCCAACUACUUUAGGCCACCAUUAAUUACUUUAUUUAAAUGUAUACUUCUUUAUUAAUUCAGUCGAUGAAGGAUUAGUCCCAACUACUUUGGGCAUUUUAACUCCAUCUUCAAUUACUUUAUUUAAAGGUAUCCUUCUUUCUUAGAUAUUGAAUUUUGAAAACACAAUCAUGCUAAAGAUUUGUCAACGAAUUGUUUUUUAAAAUAAAAAAAUAUUUUAAAAAAUAAUUAAUACCAUACUACCGAGCAAAUGAAGUUAUGUGGAGGGUUCCGCACCAUUUAAAGGUUGUAAAGAAAGGUUUAAAACACAAUGACGAUAAAGAUUUGCUAUCGAAUAUAAUAUGAAAUAAUAAUACCCAAUUGCAUCAGCGGACAUGUGAUCAACAAUAUUAAAAUUCUGUAAAUUUUGAUUUAAUUCAAUUAUUGGAAUUCCAGGCAGCGUGGCAAUGUCAGAAAAUCUUGGACGAUGGUGACUAAAUGUUUGUAAAUGGAGACGGCACGUUCGCGGAAGGUAAUAGUCGAUGGUGCCAAAAAUUAAAUCAGCUCUCAACUCGUUACAAAUAGCUGCCAUGGCCUUUCAUUCUACAUUAUUUUUUCUUUUUUCACAUUCAUGGAAUCCUCUUUGCCUUCCACCCAAAUCUUGGAUUCUGGUGAAAGUGCUGAGAGGAAAAAUGAAGCUAAAAAUUACAAUGAAGUCAUGUCCACCCUUCCAAAAGUAAAAGGCUUGAAUGGGUGUGAUUAUUACCUGUACCAAUGCUUUUGGUACGAUCCCUCCUUCUUGGAAGGAAUCAUGUCUGUUCAAGAGCGCUUCAAUCCUCAAUCCACUGAUAUAUUUCUCGCCAGUUUUCCAAAAACUGGCACAACUUGGCUUAAGGCCCUCACUUUUGCUAUUUGUACACGAUCCCGUUUAAGUGGUUCAACAACUAGUUCUUUACUUUCCAAGAUGCCACAUGACUGUGUUCCUUUUAUGGAAUAUGACCUUGCUCAGAACCCAAGUAAUCGGGACUUGGCAAUUCCUCUGGUAUCUACUCAUGUUCCUUACACUUGUUUACCUAAAUCUAUCAUUUCUUCUUGUUGCAAGAUUAUUUACAUUUGCAGGGACGCAAAGGAUGUUUUUGUUUCUUUGUGGUACUUUCUUGCCAGGCUGCAAAUGUCUGAAAAUGUUGAGCCUCUUCUUCUGGAAGAGGCUUUUGAGUUGUUUUGCAAUGGAAUUGCAAAUUUUGGACCCUACUGGAACCAUGUUUUAGGGUACUGGAGAGCAAGCUUGGAGUUCCCCGAGAAGAUACUGUUCUUGACAUAUGAGGAAAUGAAGAAAGACACCGCUGCUCAUGUUAAGAAAUUAGCUGAGUUCAUGGGUUGUUCUUUCACCCUAGAGGAAGAGGAGGAAGGGGAGGUGCAAAAGAUAAUAGGCAUGUGUAGUUUUGAGAAGUUGAGCAACUUGGAGGUGAAUAAAAAUGGGAAGUGCCUUCUAGACAUAUCAAUUCCUAUUCCAAAUAGUAUAUACUUCAGGAAAGGUGAGAUAGGCGACUGGGCAAAUCACUUGACACCUGAAAUGGGAGCACGUCUAGAUGACAUAAUGGAGCGGAAGCUCAAGGGUUCAGGCUUGAAGCUGCCCAGGUGACUGCGCCUGGGUCCCAUUUGCUUCUGAUUAUUGCCGAAGUGGGUUCAUCAAAAGCUGUUAUCAACAUCUCGUGAAACAGCAACUGUGUAUCCCAAUAAAUACCCUCUCUGUUCAUCUCUUGUAUUUCCUAGCAAGUAUUCACAUUUUGUGAAUAAUCCAUGUGAAUAAGCAAUGUUCUUUUGUGAAUCUGUGUUUGUAACUUUCAUUGAUUUCCUUGCAAGUUUGUAAGAAUUAAAAAUGGGAUUCGUUUUUUAUUUAUUUAUUUAACACAAGUGCAUGCAUUCCAUUAAUCAGUGAUAAAAAAAAAAAAAUUACUCUACUAUAUAAUAUUAGAGUGUUUUCUUCACAGAAAUUGCAGUGUGUUUUCUUCCCACUGCAAUACAUGUUUUAAAAGAACCGAGACAACCAUACAUGAGGGCGGAGCAAAUACCAACCGAGACAACCAUCCAUUAAGAUUGUUGAAUUGAAGAUCAAAUGAACAUAGGCGGCACAUCUGCUGAAAGGAUCUCGAAAUGCCUUGUAAUUGGUUAAAAUAAAGAUCAAGAUCUGUAGGAGAACUCGUGUUUUCCACUCCUAAAAUAAGCCCAGUUGCCGGCUUCAUGUGCAACAGAGGCACAUAGAGAAUCUGAAAGCAGUUUUUAUGCACUAUCAGCAGAAUAAUUUGAUCAGUCAGAAUGAUCCCCCCCCCACUAGGCUCAGAUCACAAUUCUUCUUACUUCAAACAAAUCUUUUGGAACCGAUAUGUGGAGGGAUGGCUUGAUUUAUACCGGAGAUUUUGUUGGAAAAUUAAAGAAGCAUGGCUUAAUUUGUACCUUGGAUGCGCAAAUUGAUUACAGGGAAAAAAAUGACAGAAAGUGAGUUGCAGGGAAUGAAAAAGGCAUUAGUAAACUCAACAGCUUGCAGGGCAUCGUUCCUUGGUUUACUCCGUUUUAUUUCUUAUUUUGUUUUUCCUGCCAUUGUCUUAUGUUUGUCUAACUCGCAGUCUGGUCUCUGCAGAGAAUGAGAAAGCACAGACUCUUUAAGAGAAGAUAUUCUCCGGCAAUGGCAUCAAACAGAAAAGUCCGACGUUAACUAAAUGAGUUCAUGGGUCUCUUGUCUGAAUAUAGAAGUGCAGAAACUAAGCUUGACCAAAAACCCCCAUGCUACCAACUACAACUCAACAAGCAACAAAUCAAAUGAAUUGUGAUCCGCCAGUAAACAGCGAAUGGACACUGCCCCAGCAAUAGAUCAUACAAGCUCUGACCAACCGGUCAAAGAUCACGAGGACCCUACCCACUGCCCACUGACUGACAAUUCAUCAAAUAGAUUUAUUGCCGUUCACCACCUUAUUUAGAUGUAUUUUUAAAUAAUAUCCGUGAACUCAAAAAAAAAUCACUCAAAUAUCUCCCUAGAAAACUGACCUUGAACUCUUAACUAGGAGAAAAACAAAGAGGAAAAAUAGAGCUUAUAACAUAGGAAACUACGCUGAAAACUGAGGUGAAAAAAAGUGUAAGAAAUUCUGUAAAAAUGUCCAGAAACACUUUUUAUCACUUUUUACAGAGGAUUUUGAAACCUAAACCAAUGUAGAUUUACUUUUAGUAAUUAUUAAAAAUUAAUUUUUAUCAUUAUCAAUCUUAAUUAUCCGUUAUAAAUUAAAAUUAACCUUAACCCUUUUAGCUUUAAAUAUAAUGCUUUGUUAGAAUUAUAAAAACCAUUCAAAUUGAAAAAAAUUGCUUAGGCUGAAAAAAGUGUUCAGACUCUAUAUUCAUUGACAGUACAAACUGAUGGAUUAGAAAGAAAAAAAAUAUAUAGGCCAAAAAAUUAUAAAUCCAAACCCAAGUUUAAAAUAUAUUGAUAAAAAUUAAUUAUUUAUAGUUUACAAUAAAAUCAGACUUGGGACAAGCAAGCCAAUUAAGCAUGGGACUUCAACUCAAAGUUUACUUUACUUAGGUUUUUUUUUUUAAUCUGAGUGUAUUUUAAUCCAAUUUUAAUUCUUUAUAUUUUUAAUAUAUAAUUAACAAUAAAAAUGUUGUUUUUUUUACGUGAAAUAAAGGUUUUGAAUUUCACAAAGAUAUAUUCAUCAACAAAAUUAAAUUUUUAUUUAUUUAUAAUUUAUUUUAAUUAUUUUAAUAUUUUAUGUUAAAGAGAUUUGGUUGGAGAAUAAGUUUCAAUAAAAUUUAAAUCCGAAAAAUAAGUAGAUUUUAUUUUUAAUUUUAUUUCAAAUAUAUUUAUUUUUUAUGUUUUAAAACAAAUUUUAUCUCAUCUAUGUAUGUAUAAAUAUAUAAUCACAAUUCUCAAUACAGCACUUAUAGUUAGUUAUCGAACGAAAGAAUGUUAUCUCUUUCAGUAUGCCACAGAUAUUCAAAACACGGCGGUCACCCUUAUUAGCUUGCAGUCGUCUAUCGAAGUAUUAUCGCCAAAUCCACAGAAGCAAGGCAAACCACAGUUUUCUCUAGUUAUAGGACUAGACGGUACUGCGCUAGACUGCAGGUUUACAAUAUUUUUUCGAUAAAAUAUUUAAAUCAUGAGAAAAUCAUGCAUGAUUAAAAGAGUAAAAUUCAAAUUAAAAAUAUCAAUACAUGACAAAAUAAAAUUAAAAAAAAUUAAAUAAAAUUUUUAUAAAAAAACUAGAAUAAAAGAGAGGACUGAAACCGAAAAAGUUUAAACAAAAAGGACAUACCUGCAAUUUGAGGGGGGGAGGGAGGAGGAGAAAAAAAAAGGUUCAUCAACAACGAACUGCUCGACCUUCACCUACAUGUAUCGCACCAUGAGAAAGAGGAAGCAGUGAUGCUUCCAACAACACAAUAAAAUGUUUAUUUUUACAACUAGAGGUAUUGCAUGCUAUACUUGAAGUGCUAGCUUUUUAAAUUUUAAUAUUAUUUAUUUUUUUGUUAAAAGAUUACAAUGCGCAAACUAAAAAGAAAAACAAUAUAAAAAGAUAAAGUAUAACCUUGACCUAAAGCUUUUCUUUUUCUUUUUACUUCAAGGAUAUUUAAGUAAGUUUAGUGUACAUUCAAAAGCAUUUAAUGAAAUACCCUUCGACCAAGGUUUUUUUUUUUUUUAAAGUAUAAGACACUUAACAAAAUAAUAAAUAACAAAAAUUAAAAACUUAAAAAGACAAAAAAUACCCUUCGACCAAGGUUUUUUUUUUUUACUCCAAAGCAUUUAAUGAAUCUCGCCCAUAACGACAGCAAGUCUUUAAAAAGUGGAUUUCCUGAUGAAACCUGGAUAGUAUCAGUGCCAGCUCGAGCUCAGAAUGCGGCAUCUAUUGAUUAACUUACCAGUUACCAACACAAGGAGACACACACAACAACUUUAAAAAGGGCAUUAUAUAGCUAAACAUUGAUUAUUAUUUUUAUUUCAUUUUUAAUAUUAUAUUAAUUUUAAAUAUAUAUAUUUUUAAUUUCUCCAUUCAAUAACAAGUUGAAAUUCAUAAUUUUAUUUAAUUCAUUUCUUAUAAUAAUUUUUUUCCCAUCGUUUAAUUAAAUAAAAUAUUUAUUAUAAAAAAUAAAAUUAUUAAACAUAAUUGAGUAUAUGGCUUGUAUUUUUAGGUUAAAUAUUGUAAUUAGAUGUGGGUAUAAGCAUUUUAAUUUAUAAUUAAAAAGAAAAACUAUAUCCAAAAAAGAAUUUAAAAAACCUGUAUAUUUAUUUUUCAAUUAUCUAACCUGCAGCAGUGAAGUGCAAUUGAAAUAGCUAGUAAUCUAACUAAAAAAUUUAAGAUAAGAUUAAGAAAUGAGAAGUUUAUUUGUCAGCAGACAGUAGCUUCAGUAAAUAGAAAAUAUAGACUGUACUGCUGCUGAUCCCGGGAUCAAUGCCCACCUUCAUGGAUUAUAUAUAUAUAUAUAUAUAUAUAUAUAUUCAAUGUGAGAUAUUAAGUCAUUUAGUACAUACUAGUUAGAUGACUUGUGCGGUGCUGCGAGUUAAUUUUUUUUGCAUAAAAAUAUAUAAAAAAACUAAAAUCUAAAAGUAUUAGGUCUUUUUGCAAAGUUAUACCCAAGAAUCUUGGGUUUGGCUGCAACGCCUGACCCAAGAGUAAUAUUUAUAAUAUUAAUUAUAACAUUAAACUUGCAUGACUCAAGUUUAAAUGAGUCUAGAUGCAAUACCAUACCCAAUAGUCUUGGAUGUGGGUCUGGCUGCAAGGUCGUGUAAUAAAAGUGUGAUAAUUAAAUAGAUUAAUUAAAAAUAAAAAAAACAAAGAAAAAAACAAACAUGAAGAAAAAAACUAAUGAAGAAAAAGAAAAAAAAUUUGAAUUAACUGGGUUAACCCUUCAAACCAGGUUAAUCCGUCAAACCUUGGAUUCGUGUCGUGAAAGUUUGAUAACUAAAUAAAAAAAAAAUGAACAUUAACAAACUAAAUUAAAUGAAAAAAAUAAUUAAAAAAAAAAGCAUCAGCCUUUUCACUGUGGACUGCACUGUGCAGUCCACAGUCAAAUGCAUAAAAACAACAAAAAAGCAAAAAGAAAAACUAAAGGCAUCAAUCGAUAACUAAAUAGAAAAAAAAUUUAAUAUUGAUGAACUAAAUUAAAUAAAAAAAAUUAAAUAAAAAGAAGAAAAAACUUAUAAGAAGAAAAAAACUAAUGAAGAAAAAGAAAAAAAAUCUAAAUUAACUGGGUUAACCCGUCAAACCUGAGAUCCGUGUCAUGAAAGUCUGACAACUAAAUAAAAAAAAUUUAAUAUCAAUAAACUAAAUAAAAAAAUUAAUUUAAAAAAAAGGCAUCAGCCUUUUCACCGUGGAUUGCACUGUGCAGUCCAUAGUGAAAGGCAUGAAAAUAAAAAAAACAAAAAAAAACUAAAGGCAUCAGCCUUUUCACUGUGGACUGCAUAGAAUAUUAAAAGAUGAAAUCGGAAGAACAAAACUAAUGAGGAAAAAGAAAAAAAAAAUCUGAAUCAACUAGGUUAAUCCGUCAAAUCAAGUUAACCCGUCAAACUUGAAAGUGUGAUAACUAAAUAGAAAAAAGAUUUAAUAUUAAUGAAAUAAAUUAAAAAAAGAUUAAUUAAAAAGGAAAAAAGCAAAGAGAAAAAAGACCAACAGGAAGAAAAAAACCUAAUGAAGAAAAAGGAAAAAAAUCUGAAUUAAGUGGGUUAACUGGUCAAACCUGGGAUUCGUGUCAUGAAAAUCUGAUAAUUAAACAGAAAAAAUUUAAUAUUAAGAAACUAAAUUAAAAAAAGACUAAUUAAAAAAAGACAAAAAAAAACUAAAGGCAUCAGCUUUUUCACUCUUAAAAAGGAAAAGAGAGAAAAAUAAAAACAAAAGCAAACGCCACGGGUUAAUUUUUUUUUUCUUGCAUAAAAAAUAUUAAAAAAAACUAAGAUCUAAGAGUAUUAGGUCUUUCUGCAAAGAUAUGCCCAAGAGCCUUUGGUUUAGUUGCAACGCUUGACCCAAGAGUAAUAUUUAUAAUAAUAAUAAUAAUAAUAAACUUACAUGACUCAAGUUUAAGUGAGUCUGGCUGCAAGGUCGUGUCAUAAAAGUGUGAUGAUUAAAUAUAUUAAUUAAAAAGAAAAAAACCAACAUGAAGAAAAAAACUAAUGAAGAAAAAGAAAAAAAUAUGAAUUAACUGGAUUAACCCUUCAAACCAGGUUAACCCGUCAAACCUGAGAUUCAUGUUAUGAAAGUUUGAUAACUAAAUAGAAAACAAAAUUGACGGGUUAACCUGUCAAGCCUGGGAUACGUGUCAUGAAAGUCUGAUAAUUAAAUAGAAAGAAAUUUAACAUUAACAAAAUAAACUAAACGAAAAAAAAUUAAUUUAAAAGAAAAAAAGUAAAAAAAAAAUUCUAGGUUAACUCAUCAAACCAAAUUAACCCAUCAAAUCCGGGAUCCGUGUCAUGAAAGUCUGAUAACUAAAUAAAAAAAAUAACAUUAACAAACUAAAUUAAACAAAAAAAAUUCAUAAAAGAAAAAAAAACACAGAAAAAAAACAAAAAAAACAUAAAGGCAAAAAAAACAAAAACAAAAUUAAGUGAGAAUUACUGAUGUGCUUUGCCAAGCUUUGCAACAGAAAUCUCAAGACAUUUUAAAUGCUAUGCAUUUGCUGACUACCAUAAAGACUUUAAUUCAGAAGUUAAGAGAUGAUGGAUUGGAAACUCUUUUAGAACAAGUGACAUCAUUUUGUAAGCAUAAAAACAUUGAAGUUCCUGAUAUGGAUGCUUGUUUUUCUAGUGUGGGACGAUCUCGCUGUAAAACAAAAUCAAUAACAGUUGAGCAUCACUAUCGAGUUGAUAUAUUUAUAGCUAUCAUUGAUCAAUAGUUGCAAGAGCUAAAUAAUAGAUUCUAUGAGCAGGCGAUCGAGCUUCUUAAGUUGAGCAUAGCUUUAGAUCCUAAAAAUAACUAUAAAUUAUUCAGUGUUGAAGAUAUAUGCUAACUUGUUGACAAGUUCUAUCCUGAAGACUUUUCUGACCAAGAAAAAACUCAUUUGAGAUUUCAGUUGCAGCAUUAUGAGCUUGAUGUACCCAAUCAUCCAAAGUUAAAGAAUAUGUCAUCGAUUGCUGAUUUAUGUCAAGGACUGGUUGAAAUAGAAAAAUCAACAAUUUAUCUACUCAUUGAUAAGUUGAUUCGACUUAUUUUGACUCUUCCUGUUUCGACAGCAACUACUGCACGAGCUUUUUCAGCGAUGAAGAUUGUUAAAACAAGACUUCGCAAUCGGAUGGAGGAUGAUUUUCUUGCAAAUUAUUUGAUUGUCUAUAUAGAAAAAGAAAUUGCUGAAAGAUUCACAAUUGAUAUGAUAAUCGAUGAUUUCUACUCCAUGAAAGAAAGACAAAAACAAUUAAAAUAAAUAUGUAAGAAUCAUUCUUUAUUACUUUUUAUUUUAUUUAAAAGUUUUAUCAAACAUAAAUAAUGUAUCGCUUUAGCUAAUGUUUCUUAUAUAUUUUGUAUGUUUAUAUUUGAUAGGUACAAAAACCAACAAAAUUAAAGUGAUGAAUACAUUAUGAAGAUGAAAUUAACUUCAUAGCUUUGACUUAAUUUGAUAUUUGCUUUAAACAUCUUAUCUUAUACAAAAAUCAUAAUAUGUUUGUAAUUACUUUUUUGAAUAAAACUAAAUCAUGUCGUUUUUGUUUUUGUUUUUAUUUUUAUUUUUAUGUAAAGUAAAUUUUUAAAUAAAUUAUAUCUUUUAUUAUUUUAACCCCCAUUCAAAUAAUCCCAGCCCCUGACCGCAAUAACAAUCAAAAUAAAAUCUAAUUCUACCGGCUGCUAAGAAUACUAAAAUAGUGUAAAUUUUGACUUAAUUCAAUUAUUAGAAUUCGGGGCAGAUAACAGUGUUGAAGAAAAUGUCAGAAAAGUAGGGUAAACAGUACAAAUACCUUGGAUGAUGGUGACUAACGCCGUUUGUUUACGCGGGCGCGGGUGCGGUUGCCUUUUAAUUAAUAAAUAUCGGUAGUUGGAGACUUCUUGUUCUCGAAAAGAAAUAGUUAAUAGUGCCAAUAAUUAAUCUGCUCUCAACUUGCUACAAGCUGUCAUUACUCAUUACCAAAAUAUUAAAGAAACAAAUAUUUCCUAUUAGUAGAAAAGCGAUCUAAUAAAGCGAUUGUUCAGUUGACGUUAUUGAAUUGCUUUUUUAUAAAAAGUUAAUUUUUAAAUAUUUAUAGAUUAUUUUAUAUAUAAAUUUAAAAAAAAUCUUAAAAAAUUUAAAAAUAUAUUUUAAUAUAAUUAAAAAAAACAUUUGAAAAACAAUUAAUAGUAUAGUCUCAGGUCUCAACCACCCAAAAUAUACAUUUGAAAAACAUUUUAUAUACCUUGGAUUAAAUUGUGUUGUAGGUUCCACACCAUUUAAAGCUUGCAAAGAAGGAUUUAAAACACAAUCACGCUAAAGAUUUGCAAUCCAAUAUAAUAUGAAAUAAAACCCCAUUGCAUCACCGGACAUGUGAUCAAUAAUAUUAAAAUACUGUAAAUUUUGAUUUAAUUCAAUUAUUAGAGCUUGAGGCAGCGUGACAAUGUGAAAGAAAAUGUCAGAAAAUCUUGGAUGAUGGUGACCAUAUCAGUAAUUUGAGACAGCAAGUUCUCGAAAGGUAAUAGUUGAUGGUACCAAAAAUUAAACCAGCUCUCAACUCGCUACAAAUAGCUGCCAUGGCCUUUCGUUCUACAUUAUAUUUCUUUUUUUACUUUCAUGGAAUCCUCUUUGCCUUCCACCCCAAUCUUGGAUUCUGGUGAAAGUGCAGAGAGGAAAAAUGAAGCAAAAAAUUACAAUGAAGUAAUGUACACCCUUCCAAAAGUUAAAGGCUUGAGGGGGAAUGAUUAUUACCUGUACCAAGGCUUUUGGUACUCUUCCUUCUUCUUGGAAGGACUCAUGUCUGUUCAAGAGCACUUCAAUCCUCAAUCCACUGAUAUAUUUCUCACCAGUUCUCCAAAAACUGGCACAACUUGGCUUAAGGCCCUCGCUUUUGCUAUUCUUACACGAUCCCGUUUAAGUGGUUCAACAACUAGUUCUUUACUUACCAAGAUGCCACAUGACUGUGUUCCUUUUUUGGAAUAUCACCUUGCUCAAAACCCAAGUAAUCGGGACUUGGCAAUUCCCCUGCUAUCUACUCAUGUUCCUUACAGUUGUUUACCUAAAUCUAUCAUUUCUUCUAGUUGCAAGAUUAUUUACAUUUGCAGGGACGCAAAGGAUGCUUUUGUUUCUUUGUGGUGCUUUUUUCCGCGCAUCAAAUGUCGAAAAAUGUUGAACCUCUUCCUCUGGAAGAGGCCUUUGAGAUGUUUUGCAACGGAAUUUCAGUCUUGGGACCAUAUUGGGACCAUGUUUUAGGGUAUUGGAGAGCAAGAUUUGAGUUCCCUGAGAAGAUAUUGUUCUUGACAUACGAGGAAAUGAAGAUAGACACCGCUGCUCAUGUUAAGAAACUAGCUGAGUUCAUGGGUUGUUCUUUCACCUUCGAGGAAGAGGAGGAAGGGGAGGUGCAAAAGAUAAUAAGCAUGUGUAGUUUUGAGAAGUUGAGCAACUUUGAGGUGAAUAAAAAUGGGAAGCACCGUCCCGUCCGGACACAUCAAUUGCUAUUCAAAAUAGUUUAUACUUUAGGAAAGGUGAGAUAGGCGACUGGGCAAAUCACUUGACACCUGAGAUGGGAGCGCGUCUAGAUGACAUAAUGGAGCGGAAGCUCAAGGGUUCAGGCUUGAAGCUGCCCAGGUGACCGUGCCUGGGGUCCCAUUUGCAUAUGAUUAUUGCCGAAGUGGGUUCAUCAAAAGGUGUUAUCAGGAUGUCGUGAAACAGCAACUGUGUAUCCCAAUAAAUACCCUCUCUGUUCAUAGCAAGUAUUCACAUUUUGUGAAUCUUCCAUGUCAAUAAGCAAUAUUCUUUUGUGAAUCUGUGUUUGUGACUUUCAUUGAUUUCCUUGCAUGUUUGUAAGAAUUCAAAAUGGGAUUCGUUUUUUUUUUUUAUUUAACACAAGUGCAUGCAUUCCAUUCAUCAGUUUGAUAAAAAAUAAAUUUACUCUAAUAUAUAAUAUUAGAGUGUUUUCUUCACAGAAAUUGCAGUGUGUUUUUCUUCACAGCUAUACAUGUUUGAAAAGAACCGAGACAACCAUACAUGAGGGUGGAGCAAAGACCAACCGAGACAACCAUCCAUUAAGAUUGUUGAAUUGCAGAUCAAAUGAACGUAGGCGGCACAUCUACUGAAAGGAUCUCGAAAUGCCUUGUAAUUGGUUAAAAUAAAAGAUCAAGAUCUGUAGGAGAACUCGUGUUUUCCACUCCUAAAAUAAGCCCAGUUGCCGGCUUCAUUUGCAACAGAGACACAUAAAGAAUCUGAAAGCAGUUCUUAUGCACUAUCAGCAAAAUAAUUUGACCAGUCAGAAUGAUUUUUUUCCCCCUUACUAGGCUCAGAUCACAAUCCUUCUUACUUCAAACAAAUCUUUUGGAACCGAUAUGUCGAGGGAUGGCUUGAUUUAUACCGGAGAUUUUGAUGGAAACUUAAAGAAGCGUGGCUUAAUUAUACCUUGGAUGCGCAAAUUGAUUACAGGGAAAAAAUGACAGAAAGUGAGUUGCAGGGAAUGAAAAAGGCAUUUGUAAACUCAACACCUUUCAGGGCAUCGUUCCUUGGUUUACUCCCUUUUAUUUCUUAUUUUGUUUUUCCUGCCAUUGUCUAAGUUUUUCUAACUCGCAGUCUGGUCUCUGCAGAGAAUGAGACAGCAAAAACGCUUUAAGAGAAGAUAUUCUCCGGCAACGGCAUCAAACAGAAAAGUCUGACAUCAACUAAGUGCGUGUUUGACACUCCGGUUAUGUUUACAUAAAAAACAUCGUUGUCAUGUGUUUGGUUACAGUCUAAACAUAAUUUUCUGUUUGUGAGACCCGUUAUCAUUUGCUUUUAAACCGCAAGAUAACCAAAAGCAACUUCAAGCUGCCUUUUGUGUUGAGUUGCAAACUUUAUAAACAAAGGCCACAAGAAAAAGAGCAGAAACAUAGCAGUGAAUAGUAAACAGUGGAGAGUAGCUCCCUCUCACCACCGGCAUCCACCGUUUCCACCGCCAGCCACUGCUCUUCCUCUUCCCCUUCUCCUUCUCCUUUAUCUUCUGCAUUGUCCACUGUUCACGUUGCAUGUGAACAGUGGAGAGCAGCUCACCACCGGCCUCCGCUGUUUCCACCGCCAGCCACUACUCUUCCUCUUUCCCUUCCCCUUCUUCUUCUUCUUCUACAUUUUCCACUGUUCACAUGAACAGUGGAGAGCAUCUCCACUAUUCAUGGCCGGAUUGGGUCUGACCCAAACCUAAAUGCAUUGGACUGGGUCCGACCAAGUAAAAUAAAAAAAUCUAAAAACAUUUCUUAGAUAUUGUGUUUUAUUUGAAAAACUAGUGUUUAAAAUUAUUCAAUGACACUAUAUAAUUAUAUUAGAAGGAGAUCGCAUGAUGACAUAGCAUUUGCAGAAUUUGAUUGCAAUCCCAAUUUUGUUCCUAAUGAUAUUUUACCUGAUGUGAUGAUAUUUUACCUGAUGUUGGUAUACGUUCAAGAAGCCAUGAAAACUGUAGUUCUUGUCGGAUGGAUUUCGUACGUGAUUGAAUUGCAAAUAGUUUAAUAAAACAAUAAAAAAUACUUUAUAUAAAGUAUUGUUUAUUUCAUGAUUUAAUAGCAGUAGUUAAAUCUAUAAUAUUUCAAUUAAAAACCAUCAAUAUUAAUAUAUGUUUUUUUUAAUUAUUUUAUAACCUUAAUUUGAAAAAUAUUCUUUAAACCAAACACAUUAAACUACUUUUUGUUCAACCUCAAUUUCAACCACAAUUUUAACCAAAUAUAUAUUUUUUCAAACCAAUCUCAACUAAAAGUAAUUUUUAUAAAACAACUUUUUCAAACUAUAACCACAACAGCUACCACAAUACCAAAUACACAUAAAAAAAACUGUAAUGAUAAGCAAGUUAAAGUGCCACCAUUGAUUUAGGAUCUGCUUUAGAUCUUAUAAGGUGAAAGUAAAACACAAGGAAAUGCAUGCAUGCACACCACUAAUCUUUGAUUCUGGCGAGAACAGUGAUGACUACACUCAGAACCAUAUAGAAUUACAUUCCAAGAUGAAGAAAUUAAUAACAGAGCAGUGCUAUAAAGCUAAAUGUGAGAACCAAAGAUUAAUAAGCAAUGCUGAAAAUUUUAUCAUGCAUAAGAUGAGAGAAGCACAGGACAGAUUUUAUCAAAUCUAUAGUUUUUCUUCAAUAAUAAUAAUAUUUUUUAAAAAUUUAAUAAUAAUAAAAAAAAAAAACUCAUGUUCCUUGGCUCUUUCUCUUGCCAAACUGAAGCUACCAUAGUCAAAUCCAAGUAACUUAGAUGUCACGCUCUUGCUAAACCCAAGUUAUUUGGGUAUGACAUCUCAUGCUGGACUCAUAGCAUUCCAGAUCAAAGGUGUUGAUAUCUAACAAUAAUACCUCACCCGAGCCCUAAGAUGUGAUUGCUUUUCUAGACCCGAGGGCCAAGGCACCAAGACACUAUUCACUAUAAGUCAAGUCAAUGAAUCAAUCAAUCGAUUUUAAAGAUCAAGUUUUUUUUUUAAUAGAGAAACAAAACUUUUAUUAACAUUGAAAUAACUCUUAAAAUCUUAAUAAAAUUAAUUUGAAGUAAAAAUAAUAUUAAAAGAAAUAUUCAGAAGCACUUUUUGAUUGUAAAAUCAAACACACUAAAAUCAUGUAGAUUUUCAUUUAGACAUUAAAAUUCAAGAAGAAAUUAAGUUCACAGUACUAUUAAUUCAAUCGAUGAAGGAUUAGACCCAACUACUUUAGGGCCACCAUUGACAUUGAUUACUUUGAAUAAUUUUAAUUUAUAGGCAUAAAAAAUUAAUACAUAUCUUUAAGAGGAUCAAUUUUAGAUUAUCUCUCUCUCUCUCUCUCUAUUUUUUUUUUGGUUUUCAAAUAUUUGACAUUUUCGUUUAGAUAAGCUCUAGUGUGUGUUUUUUUAAGAUUAUUUUAAAUCAUGUUUCUUGAAAUGUCAAAAACAUUUCAUGGAUUAAUUUAACUUAAUAACGCCAAAGAAUUAGGAAUUAAAACUGACAAUUUCCACCAUGUAAGAGUACCUAAUUGAAAAUUUACUUUCUUAUCAUUUACCUCAAUUAAGCGGAAGCAUGAUCAUGAGAAGGGAUUUGGAGAAAGAAUUAUAAACAGAGAAUAAGAGAAAAUGUAAUGUGUAUAGAUUUUCUUAAUGAAUUAAUUAUGAUACAACAGAAGCUCAUAUAUAUAUAUAUAUACAUUCUAAACUAAUCAGUUAUGAAAUGUUAUUACAAAUAUAAUUUGAAUUUCAAUUUUAAAAUCAUGAUUAGUGCAGGUUUAUCAAUGCAGCAGAAUAUCCAUCAUAAACAAGAAGUUCACAGUUACAAAGUUUGAAUCUUUGUAACUGUAACUCUCUUUUGAAACUCUCUUCUUGGUCUUCAAUAUCCGUUAGCUAGCUGGAGAUGUAACAGUUACAAAGUUUGAAUCUUUGUAACUGUAACUCUCUUCUUGGUCUUCAAUGUCUGUCAGUUACAAAGUUUGAAUCUUUGUAACUGUAACUCUCUUAUGCUUAACAUUCCCCUGCAAACUGAUGGGGAUAGGAAUCACCAUCAAUUUGGACCGUAAAAACAUAAACCUUGCUGUAGUAUGACCUUUGGUGAAGACAUCUGCAAUCUGGUCAUAUGUUGAAAUAUAUCGUACAAGAAUAUCCUUAUUAAGAACUUUUUCACGGAUGAAGUGAUAAUCCACCUCUAUGUGCUUCGUUCGGGCAUGAAAAACAGGAUUAGAGGCAAGAGAUAUUGCACCUACAUUAUCACACCAUAGUGUAGGAGGUGACGACAAUGAAAUGCCAAGAUCUUGCAAUAACAUUCGAAGCCAAUAUAGUUCAGCAGUGACAAGAGCCAUGGAUCGAUAUUCGGCCUCAGUACUGGAUUUAGACACAACACUUUGUUUCUUUGCACUCCAGGAUAUGAGAUUUUGGCCUAGAAACACAAUAUAACCACUUGUAGAUUUUCUAUCAUCAGGAUUCCCAGCCCAAUCUGCAUCACAGAAAGCAUCUAAUGUUGUUGUCGAUUGAGUGUAGUGAAUACCAUAAUCAAUUGUUCCUUUCAAGUAACGAAGAACUCUUUUGGUAGCAAUCCAGUGUGGUUCUCGUGGAGCAUGCAUGAAUUGGCAUAAUUGGUUCACUGCAUAGCUGAUGUCAGGUCUUGUUAAAGUGCAAUAUUGAAGAGCACCAAUAACUUGAUGAUAUUCAGUUGGAUCAUUCAAUAUCCGUUAGCUAGCUGGAGAUGUAACAGUUACAAAGUUUGAAUCUUUGUAACUGUAACUCUCUUAUGCUUAACAUUUGGGAGGCACUUAGAUUAGGCUCUUCUCUAGUCUUGAGAAGCAAAACCAAUAGAGACGUGAUUGCGCACUCCCUGAGCUAUAUAGUAAGUGGCUGCAAACAAAUUGUCAGCACCAAUUCAGGUCCGGAAAAUUAAAGCAUUGAAGCAUAAAAGGUGACCUAACCUAAUUAAGCAAAUUACUACUUAUUCCAGCAUCACCUAGGAGUGAGACAGCCAGCCCAUCCAGUGUCUACAUGGUAAGGGAAUAAUUCCUUCAAGAAUGCAGAGAAAAUUAUACUUGCAAUACAACUAUAAACGAGAUGGUACAGUGCGGAAGGCAAGAUGUUAAAUCAAUUGAUCUUAUUAUAAUACUGUGAAAUAUGAUCAGGACAAAAAAAUAAAUAAAGAAAGAAAGAGUUGUUUAUUUUACAAUGAUCGAUAUGAUGCUUCUUUGCAUGUGGAAUCUUCGUCAAAGACUUGUUGAAAAUGCCAAAUUGUGAUCCACUUUUGGCUGUGUCAAAUGCAUGGGUGGGGCUUCACACAGAGCUAUUACCCCUUGUGUAAACUCAACGCCAGUUUUCAUGAGUUCUUUGGGAUUCUAACAUAGUAAAAAAAAGAAAGAUAAAAUAACAAAGUGUAAAGAAUAUUUAGUGAAAUAGAUAUUCGUGAUUAAUCAGUAGCAAUUAUUAUAUGCUGGCUCUCUCGGGUUUACUUGACAGAAGAUUUAUUAAAAAGAGUUGAUAAAGGAGAAAGAAAAGAAAAGAAAAUCUUCAAGGUAUAUCAAAACUCUGAUAAUAAUAUUAUUGGUAUUGUUAAAAAAAUCUCGACAAGACAAAUCGAAAAAUAACAAUGAAGGUCAUCAAUGACGAUAAAAAUAAGUCAUACGAGUGGCCCAAGAUAAGUGAGUUUUAAUACUUUUGAACAGCUUGUAUGAUUCAUUUUAUUCACUAUUUAUAAUCUUUUUUGAUGCUGUUAAAUUCAUCUUGUAAUGAUGUUGAUAAUGUUAUCAUUAUAAUUUCAAUGUAUUUUUAUUUUUAUUAUUAUUUUUUGUUUUGCUCUCUCUCCUCUCUCAUUGUAAUUUAUGAAGAGUAAGAGAGGGGGAAAAAAAAAACCCUAGUCUUCCAAUUUAAUCUGGCUGAAUACUACUAUCUCAAUCUUAUUCACUACUUUGUCAAAGCAAAGUAGAUUUUUCCUUAAAUAAGAUCUAAUCCACCGGCGGAUAGGUGAUCAAGAAUAUUAAAUUAGUGUAAAACUUGAUUUAAUUCAACAUUAUAAUUAGAGGUGCUAUAAUAAUGUGAAAAAAAGAAUAAAAAAACUAGAUGAUGGCGACCACAUAUCAAUAAUUCCAGACAUCACGUGGAGCACUUUCAUCAUCAUUAUUAUUAUUGGUAUAAUAAUGUUUGUUGUAUUAUUUUUUAAUUGUUAAGUUGUUUACUAUAUGUUAAAAUUUCAAGAUCUUCAAAGAUUGGGAAGAUCGGAUCUAAAGUUACUAUGGGACUGUCUUUAUUUUCCUAUUUGGAUUUUUUUAUUUAUAUUAAGAAUUUAAAUUUAAUUAGUAUUUUAUUAUUUAAAAAUUUUAAUGGUAAAUUGAUUCUAUUAGUUAGGUAAAUUUUAAAUAUAAAUUAUUUUUCUAUACAAAAUUUUAAAUCUAGAACUAAUAUAAAUAAAAAUAUUUAGUUUAUUUUUGUUCGAGGAUUCAUAUUAUUAUUUAAAUUUUUUUAUAAAUAUUUAGAGAUUUUUUCUAAUUUCCUAUGGUGUUAGGGAUUAUAACCUUAAGGUUUGGUUUGAAAUAAUGAUGACAGUUAUUUCUUAAAGUGUUUUUCACUUGAAAAUACAUUAAAAUAAUAUUUUUUUUAUUUUUUAAAUUUUUUUUUGAUAUCAGCAUAUCAAAACAAUUCAAAAACACCAAAAACUUAAUUUGAAAAAAAAUCAAAAUUUAUAAAAACCCCGGUUAAAAUGUUUUACCAAACACUUCUUAGUUUUUAAUAUUAAUACAUCAAAACAAUCCAAAAAUAUUAAUUUAAAAUUUUUAAAAACUCCGGUUGCGUUUGUAAGAUGUGUUGCGGCUCUCAACUUGCUACAAUGGCCUUUCUUUAAUAUUUUAUUUACACCAUUCAUGGAACCCUCUUUGCCUUCCACACAAAUCCCGGAUUUUGGUGAAACUGCUAAGAGGAAAAAUGAAGAGCUUUCCAAAGGCCAUGCUAAAACUACAAAGAAGUGAUCUCUACCUUUCCAGAAGUUAAAGGCUUUUGGGACGUUCCGCUCUUCUUGGGAAGACUCAUGUCAGUUCAAGAACACUACAAGCCUCAAUCCACUGAUAUAUUUGUCGCCAGCUUUCCAAAAACGAAGGAAAUCUUUGGUUAAUGUUCUCUGAAUCUCUCCUUUUCUCCUUCAAGAGUGAAAUUUAUGUGCCUUUCGUACCUUUUUACGUUAGAACAUUUCAUUUGUUCUUGUUUUCUAAAUUGAGUCUUUUCUAUGCGUUUUAUUAUUUUAUUUAUUGGGUAUUUGAGAGUGUAGUAAUAGUUAUAAUUUAAAGUGUUUUUAUUCAAAAAUAUAUUAAAAUAAUAUAUAUUUUUAAUUUUUUAAUAUUCAUCUUUUGACAACAUCACUCCAAAACAUUAGAAAACAUAAAAAAAAAAAAAACAAUUAGAAAACAAUUAGAAAACGCAAGAUUGCAUCAAUGCUAAAUGCAAUAUAUAUAUAUAGGUGCGCGCGCGCGCGUGUGUGAGAGAGAGAGAGAUCCACCUGUGUGUGAAAUGCAUAGUGAUGUUCCACAGCGAGCCAUUAUCUAUUAUGUAAAAUCUCUGAGAAAUGUCAUAGAUCAAUUGGUCGAUAUAGCAAAUUGAUAGGUUAAAGCUGCUCAUAAUCAAUACCUCUAAAAGAUUAUCUUUGGUGGAGAUGAAAACUUUUUGAUAUGUAAAUAAGUAUUUAAAAAAAAAUUAAAUAUUCUAUAAAGAGAUGUUCUGAAAAUACAAAUGCAGUAGAGAAUUGGAGAUUGUGAAUCUUUAUUAUGAAGGUCUCAUGAUAUAUUUAUAGCUCGAAUCUUGUCAUUUUGUGAAAAUAAGAGUUUGCAGUGUAAUUAACCUGAUAACAUUUAAUGAGGAAUAAAUAUCAUUUACAUGAUGGGAAUAUGGUGGGUCCUCGAAGGAGUUUUAUACACCUUAAAAGGUAUCAGAAAAUUAGAGUUUAAGAUAUCAAGUGUAGCUGAGCUUAUAGAGAUCAAGUUCUUUCUUGAGAUUAAAUCCAAGGGAGGUUUGUCAUUCCCCUGGACAUGCCAAGGAAGAAUGGUUAUUAUCUUGGACUUGGUUGGUUGCCAAAUCCAAGCAUCUUGGGCAUGACAUGCGUGCCAGAUCCACACUACCUUGAAGUUGGAGCACUACUAAGUCCAAGCGCCUCGGGUCUGACAUGCAUGCCAGACUUAUACUACGCUGGACUUGGUGCAUUACUAAGUCCAAAUGCCUUGGGUCUGAUAUGCCUGUUAGACCUAUAUUAUCUUGGGCUUGACGCAUUACUAUAUUCAAGCACCUUGAACUUAAUUAAUUGUCAAGUCCAUGCAUCUUAGAUUUAGAUCUAACAUAUACACUAGACUCAUAUUACAUUGAAUCUAGCGCAUUACAAAGUUAUAAUGCCUUGAAUUAAGUAUAUGUGCCACAUCCAUACAUUUUAAAAAACCAAACGAAAACUAAAUAAAAAGUUGACUCAUCGCUAAUCUAUAAAUACUAUCUACAUAAUGGCCUUAGUUGAUAUCUUCUACCGCUUACUACAUUUACUUGAAUAAUGAAAAUGUUUUUUUUUUUUAAUGGAAAAGAGAUUUUAACUCCAUCUUCAAUUACUAUAUAAAUGUUUCCUUGGGUUUUGAAAACGCAAUCAUGCUAAAAAUUUAUUAUCUAAUAUAAAAUAAAAUGUAUUUGUUUUUAUAUUUUAAAAAUGUUUUUUUUUUAAUUUUUUAAUUUUCAUCUUGUUUUGAUGUGUUAAUAUUAAUAAUAAAUUUUAAAAAUAAAAAAAAUAUUAUUUUAAUAUAUUUUUUAAAUUAAAAAUAUUUUAAAAAAUAACUAUUACAACAUUAACGAAUAAGAUUUAAUAUAAAAAACAUUCUAAUUGCAUCAGCUGAGAGGUGAUCAACAAUACCGCAUUCCCGAACUUCACAUCCCUAUAUUAAUGGAUUGUGUUGUGGGCUCCACGCCAUUUAAAGCUUGUAAGAGAAACCACACCUCUAAAUAGAAACCACACGAUCACGCUAAAAGAUUUGCUAUCGAAUAUAAUAUGAAAUAAAACCCAAUUGCAUCAGCGGACAUGUGAUCAAUAAUAUUAAAAUAAGGUAAUAGUUGAUGGGCCACAAAUUAAACCAGCUCUCAACUCGCUACAAAUAGCUGCCAUGGCCUUUCAUUCUACGUUAUAUUUUCAUUUUUUACAUUCAUGGAAUCCUCUUUGCCUUCCACCCAAAUCUCGGAUUCUGGUGACAGUGCAGAGAGGAAAAAUGAAGCUAAAAAUUACAAUGAAGUGAUGUCCACCUUUCCGAAAGUUAAAGGCUUGAAUGGGUAUGAUUAUUACCUGUACCAAGGCUUUUGGUACGCUCCCUUCUUCUUGGAAGGACUCUUGUCUGUUCAAGAGCGCUUCAAUCCUCAAUCCACUGAUAUAUUUGUCGCCAGUUGUCCAAAAACUGGCACAACUUGGCUUAAGGCCCUCACUUUUGCUAUUUUCACACGAUCCCGUUUAAGUGGUUCAACAACUAGUUCUUUACUUACCAAGAUGCCACAUGACUGUGUUCCUUUUUUGGAAUAUCACCUUGCUCAAAACCCCAGUAAUCGGGACUUGGCAAUUCCUCUGGUAUCUACUCAUGUUCCUUGCACUUGUUUACCUAAAUCUAUCAUUUCUUCUUGUUGCAAGAUUAUUUACAUUUCCAGGGACGCAAAGGAUGCUUUUGUUUCUUUGUGGUACUUUCUUGCCAGGCUGCAAAUGUCGAAAAAUGUUGAACCUCUUCCUCUGGAAGAGGCAUUUGAGUUGUUUUGCAAUGGAAUUGCAAAUUUUGGACCAUAUUGGGACCAUGUUUUAGGGUAUUGGAGAGCAAGCUUCGAGUUCCCUGAUAUUGUUCUUGACAUACGAGGAAAUGAAGAAAGACACCGCUGCUCAUGUUAAGAAACUAGCUGAGUUCAUGGGUUGUUCUUUCUGUUGCAUUAAACUCAAUCUAGAAGGUUAAGGAAGGCAACCACCACUUGCAGCCACUAGCUGUCACCGCCUAGCCGCCAGCCGUCUUCAUACUUGAAAGUUGAAUUAUCUUGUUUUUGAAUUCUGUGUAUAAAUAGAUAGCUAAGUGGAUGUUAUUCUGUGUGGAAAGAGAAGAAAGAAACACUAGAGAGAAAGAGAGAGGGAGUGUGUAGCUUUUGUUUAAUUAUUGUAAGCUUUUAUUGUUGAAAUAAAACAGUGUGUUUUAUCUCUUCUGAGUGUUUCAAAGCCACCACCAGUGGUUUCUCCCACCAACAAUUGGUAUCAGAGCCUCGUUCGUCACAAAACACAAGUAUUUUGGGAGAUACACGAAUUUUCAAAGUUGUCAAAAACAAUUUUUGAUCAUUCCACAAUGUAGAGCUCAUCCAUACGAACUCACUGGUGCAAAAAUCAGCUUCAUCGGAGCCCGAGGUGAUCCCCACGCGCCUCCUGAAAUUCCGGUAACUGUAGCCCAGUCUCACCCACGCGCUCCAGAGGUUGAAGACGCCAGAGGUUGAAGACGAGUGUCGUCCACGCGCGCCAUAUUCGAGCCGAUCCCCAGCCGAGCCGAUCUUUAGCCUCAGCCGAGCCGAUAGAAUAUUCCCCAGAAUAUUCCCGGUUCAACCCCAGCGAACCGCCUAACGUCCAGAAUCGGUUUUCAGACCGGUUCAGCCUAUUUCUGACCCAUUUUCAUCCAAGUCAGGCCGGUUCCCUACUGUUUUGAGCAUUCUGGAUCCAUCUACGGUGUCUGUUUUGCCAAAUUCAACUCCCAGAAGGUGAUAUAGUCAUUCAAAAAGCAAAAUGACUACAGAAAAUGCACAAACACUCAUCCCGAAGCUGACCAAAGACAACUAUGAUAGUUGGUGUAUCAGAUUGAAGGCAUUUCUUGGUUUACAAGAGUGUAUAGAGAUUGUGCAAUAUGGUUAUGAUGAACCAGAGUCUAAAGAAGUAGAAGAUACUUUAAAUGAGGCAGAAAAGCAAGUCCUCAAAGCAAAUAGAAAGAAAGACAACAAAGCAAAGACCAUAAUCUAUCAAGGUCUUGACGAAGCUAUAUUCGAAAUUAUUGCUUCCGCAGAAACAUCAAAAGAGAUAUGGGAGGCUCUCCAACAAAAAUACAAAGGUGCUGACAGAAUCAAGAAGAUUCGUCUCCAAUCUUUGCGAGGUGAGUUUGAAUUAUUGCAAAUGAAGGCCUUAGAAUCUAUUUUUGACUAUCACACAAGAAUUAUGGUGAUAGUCAAUCAGAUGAGAAGAAAUGGAGAAGCCCUCACAGAUGCUCGGAUUACAGAGAAAAUUUUGAGAUCCCUAUAUCCAAAAUUUUAUUUUGUUGUUGUCGUUAUUGAAGAGUCCAAAGAAGUGGACAAGUUGAUGGUGGAUGAGCUUAUGAGUUCUUUGCAAGCUCAUGAGCAAAAGAUCGUGAAAAGAAAUGGAGAUAAGGCAAUUGAGCAUGCCUUACAAGCAAAGUUGUCUCUCAAAGACAGAUAUGAGCAAGGGGAGACUUCAAUAAGUGGAUAUACCACUCAAGGAAGAAGUCCACAAAGACGAGGAGGAUUUCAGCAAUUCCAAGGAAGAGGAUCUUGGAAUACAGGUUUUAGAGGAAGAGGUGGCAGAUAUACCACUAGAGGAGGCCGAGGACAACAAUCAUUCACUCCUAAAGGAAGAGGAGGCGGUUACAAUAACCGUGACAAGAGGAAUAUCCAGUGUUAUAAGUGCAAUCAAUUUGGGCACUAUAGCAUUGAAUGUCAAAGGAAAGCUCCAUUAGAGGUACGUGAGCAUGCAAACUAUGCAGAGGAGGAUGCCAACAGCAGAGGAGCAGCUGCAUUAUUUGUCCAACAAGGACUUGACAAGAAUCAAGAGAAUAUUUGGUAUCUUGAUUCUGGAGCCAGCAAUCACAUGUGUGGCCAACGAGAUCUAUUUGGCGAUCUAGAUGAGACCAUACAAGGUCUAGUCACCUUUGGAGAUACAUCAAAAGUUCCAUUCAAAGGUAAAGGCAACAUCCCAAUCAAGUUGAAGAAUGGCGAUCAUAGCUACAUCGCCAAUGUCUACUAUGUCCCAGCCAUAAAGCAAAACUUGGUGAGCAUAGGUCAACUUCUAAAGAAAGGUUAUACACUUUUCAUGAAGAAUUGUCAUCUGACAGUUACAGACUACAAUGGGAGAUUAAUUGCCUAUGUGAAAAUGUCCAAGAAUAGGAUGUUUCCUUUAAACAUCCAAUAUGAUGCAGCAAAGUAUUUGAGUGCCAUCACCAACAGUGAAGAGUGGCUUUGGCACCUGAGGCUUGGACAUCUGAAUUUCACAAGUCUGAAGAUGCUAGCAAGCAAGAAGAUGGUCAAAGGUAUGCCCCACAUUGAUCAUCCAGAUGAAGUCUGUGAGAGUUGUGUCCUCAGCAAACAUCACAGAUCCAAUUUUGCCAAAGAAGUCAACUGGAAAGCAAACAAGCCACUGGAGUUAGUGCACACAGAUGUGUGUGGUCCCAUAAAGCCUAUGUCGACUGGACCAAAUAGGUACUUCCUUACUUUCAUUGAUGAUUUUAGCAGAAAGACGUGGAUAUACUUUCUGAAGAGGAAGUUAGAAGUGUUCAAUUGUUUUAAAGAUUUUAAAGCAAUUGUUGAGAAGCAAAGUGGCUAUAAGAUCAGAACCGUGAGAUCUGAUCAAGGUGGAGAAUAUACAGCAAAUGACUUUGAAGCCUUUUGUACACAACAAGGCAUCAAACAUCAGACAACACCAGCUUAUACACCACAGCUGAAUGGUGUAGCUGAAAGAAAGAAUCGAACGAUUCUUGACAUGGCGAGAAGUCUACUCAAAGCAAAGAAGCUGCCCAAACAAUACUAGGCUGAAGCUGUAUCAUGUGCAGUGUAUCUACUGAAUCGCUGCCCAACCAAAAGUUUGCAAGCUGUCACUCCACAAGAAGCAUGGAGUGGUCACAAACCAAGUGUUACUCAUCUUCGAGUCUUUGGUUGUGUGGCAUAUGCAAAGAUCCCAGAUGCAAGAAGGACCAAACUCGAUGAUAAAAGCGAGAAAUGCAUCUUUGUCGGAUAUGGUGAGAGAAAGAUGGGAUACAAGCUGUAUAAUCUCAUCACAAAGAAGGUAAUUAUGAGUAGAGAUGUUAUCUUUGAAGAAGAUAAAACAUGGCAAUGGAAGGAUGACCAAGAAGCAGUCAAAUGGAUCAGCACUGAUUUGAUCCUUGAAGAUGAAGUGGAAGUACCACCAGUACUUGCAGAAGGUCUGAUAUUACCGGCAGAUGAGCCACAAAGUUCGGUACACAGAUUCCCUGUAUUCAACAGGAGAAACACACCAGAAUCAUCAUCAGCAUCCUCAUCAGAAGGACCAAGAAGGAUGAGAAAUCUAGACGAGUUGUACGAUGUCAUGCAAGUCAUGGAAGAUACAACUCUAUUUUGUUUCUUUACAGAUACUGACCCACUUAGCUUCAAUGAAGUUAUCAAAGAAGAGAAGUGGAUAUAAGCAAUGGAUGAAGAAAUACAUGCUAUUGAGAAGAAUGACACCUGGAAGCUGACUAAUCUACUAGAAAACAAGAAAGCAAUAGGUGCCAAAUGGGUCUAUAAGACAAAGAAGAAUGCAAAAGGAGAAGUGCAAAGAUACAAAGCAAGAUUAGUAGCAAAAGGCUACAAAUAAAGAGAAGGCAUUGACUAUGGAGAAGUAUUUGCUCCAGUAGCCCGGCUAGAGACAAUCAGACUGAUGAUCUCACUAGCUGCACAACAUAGAUGGAAGAUCUAUUAACUCGAUGUGAAGUCAGCAUUUCUGAAUGGCUUCCUAGAAGAAGAGAUCUAUGUUGAACAACCACUUGGAUACAUCGAAGCUGAAAAUGACGGCAAAGUAUACAAGUUGAAGAAAGCUCUCUACGGUUUGAAGCAAGUUCCGCGUGCUUGGAAUACCAGAAUUGACAGGUAUUUUCAAGAAAAUGAAUUUGAAAAAUGUCCAUAUGAACACGCAAUAUAUGUGAAGAAAGAAGCAGAUAACAACAUAUUAUUUGUGUGCCUAUAUGUUGAUGAUUUGCUAUUCACCGGCAACAACCCAACCAUGUUUGAAGCCUUCAAGAAAAGCAUGGUACAAGAGUUUGAGAUGACAGACAUUGGUCUGAUGGCACACUUUCUUGGCUUAGAAGUGGUGCAGAAAGAAGAAGGGAUUUUUGUAUCCCAAAGCAGUUAUGCCAAAGACAUUCUUGAAAGGUUCAAGAUGGAAAGCUGCAAUCCGGUAUCAACUCCAGUUGAGAAUGGAGUAGAAUUGAGGAAGAGUAAAGUUGGAAAUGUUGAUCCAACUUACUUCAAAAGCUUAGUAGGAAGCUUAAGGUACUUGACAUGUACCAGACCGGAUAUACUCUACGGAGUUGGUCUUAUCAGCAGAUACAUGGAGACACCAGACCAGUCUCACUUGAAUGCAGCCAAGAGAAUUCUUCGCUACAUCAAAGGAACAAUCAAUGAAGGUAUGUUUUAUACCUCAAGUACAAACUUCAAUCUUGUUGGCUACUCGGAUAGUGAUUGGGGUAGAGAUCUGGAUGAAAGGAAAAGCACAACAGGGUUUGUCUUUUUCAUGGGAAAUACAUUUUUCACAUGGUCAUCCAAGAAGCAAUCGAUAGUAACGUUAUCAAGCUGUGAAGCUGAGUAUGUUGCUGCCAACUCAGCUGUAUGCCAUUUAAUAUGGUUAAGAAAUAUGCUGAAGCAUUUGGGAUUUCCUCAAGAAGAUCCCACAGAGAUUUAUAUUGAUAAUCGAUCAGCGAUUGCAUUAGCAAAGAACCCGGUGUAUCAUGAACGAAGUAAACACAUUGAUACACGUCAACACUUUAUCCGAGAGCAUAUAAAGAACAAAGAAGUCGAGCUGAUAUCCUGCAAGACAAAUGAUCAAGUUGCAGAUAUCUUUACAAAGCCAUUGAAGGGAGAAACAUUUAUCAGACUGAAGUUCAUACUUGGCGUGACAUCCCUCGAUUAAGUUUAAAGGGGGGAUUUGUUGCAUUAAACUCAAUCUAGAAGGUCAAGGAAGGCAACCACCACUUGCAACCACCAGCUGUCACCGCCCAGCCACAAACCGCCCAGCCGCCAGCCACUAGCUGUAUGCCGCCAGCCUCCAGCCGCCUUCACACUUGAAGGUUGAAUUAUCUUGUUUUUGAAUUCGUGUAUAAAUAGGUAGCUAAGUGGAUGUUAUUCUGUGUGGAAAGAGAAGAAAGAAACACUAGAGAGAAAAGAGAGGGAGUGUGUAGCUUUUGUUUAAUUAUUGUAAGCUUUUAUUGUUGAAAUAAAACAGUGUGUUUUAUCCCCUCUGAGUGUUUCAAAGCCACCACCAGUGGUUUCUCCCACCAACACUUUCACCUUAGAGGAAGAGGAGGAAGGGGAGGUGCAAAAGAUAAUAAGCAUGUGUAGUUUUGAGAAGUUGAGCAACUUGGAGGUGAAUAAAAAUGGGAAGCACCGUCCGGACACAUCAAUUGCUAUUCAAAACAGUGUAUACUUCAGGAGAGGUGAGAUAGGCGACUGGGCAAAUCACUUGACACCUGAAAUGGGAGCACGUCUAGAUGACAUAAUGGAGCAGAAACUCAAGGGUUCAGGCUUGAAGCUGCCGAGGUGAAUGUGCCUAGGGUCCCAUUUGCUUGUGAUUAUUGCCGAAGCGGGUUCAUCAAAAGCUGUUAUCAACAUCUCGUGAAACAGCAACUGUGUAUCCCAAUAAAUACCCUCUCUGUUCAUCUCUUGUAUUUCCCAGCAAGUAUUCACAUUUUGUGAAUCAUCCAUGUCAAUAAGCAAUGUUCUUUGUGAAUCUGUGUUUUUGACUUUCAUUCAUUUCCUUGCAUGCUUGUAAGAAUUAAAAAUUGGAUUCGUUUUUUUUAUUUAUUUAUUUAACACAAGUUCAUGCAUUCCAUUAAUCAGUUCGAUAAAAAAUAAAUUUAGUCUAAUAUAUAAUAUUAGAGUGUUUUCUUCACAGAAAUUGCAGUGUGUUUUCUUCAGUUAUACAUGUUUUAAAAGAACCGAGACAACCAUCCAUUAAGAUUGUUGAAUUGCAGAUCAAAUGAACGUAGGCGGCACAUCUGCUGAAAGGAUCUCGAAAUGCCUUGUAAUUGGUUAAAAUAAAGAUCAAGAUCUGUAGGAGAACUCGUGUUUUCCACUCCUAAAAUAAGCCCAGUUGCCGGCUUCAUGUGCAACAGAGGCACAUAGAGAAUCUGAAAGCAGUUUUUAUGCACUGUCAGCAGAAUAAUUUGAUCAGUCAGAAUGAUUCCCCCCCUCUAGGGCUCAGAUCACAAUUCUUCCUUGAAACAAAUCUUUUGGAACCGAUAUGUGGAGGGAUGGCUUGAUUUAUACCGGAGAUUUUGUUGGAAAAUUAAAGAAGCAUGGCUUAAUUUGUACCUUGGAUGCGCAAAUUGAUUAGAGGGAAAAAAUGACAGAAAGUGAGUUACAGGGAAUGAAAAAGGCAUUAGUAAACUCAACACCUUUCAGGGCAUCGUUCCUUGGUUUACUCCGUUUUAUUUCUUAUUUUGUUUUUCCUGCCAUUGUCUAAUGUUUUUCGAACUCACAGUCUGGUCUCUGCAGAGAAUGAGAAAGCACAAAUUCUUUAAGAGAAGAUAUUCUCCGGCAAUGGCAUCAAACGGAAAAGUCCGACGUCAACUAAGUGUGUGUUUGGUGUUGCGGCCGUGUUUACAAAAAAACAUCGUUGUCAUGUGUUUGGUUACGGUCUAAACACAAUUUUCUAUUUGUGGGACCCAUUACUAUUUGCAUUUAAACUGCAAGAUAACCGGAAGCAACUUCAAGUUGCUUUUUAUGAUUAGUUGCAAACUAUGUUAUAAACAGAGGCCACAAGAAAAAGAGCAGAAAUAGAGCAGUGAAUAGUGAACAGUAGAGAGCAGCUGCCUCUCACCACCAACCUCCACCGUUUUCACUGCCAGCCACUGCUCUUCCUCUUCCCCUUCUCCCUUUCACGUGAACUGUGGAGAGUGGAGAGCAGCUCACCACCGACCUCCGCUGUUUCCAUCGCCAGCCACUGCUCUUCCUUUUCCCCUUCUCCUUUUCACGUGAAUAGUGGAGAGUGGAGAGCAGCUCACCACCGACCUCUGCUGUUUCCAUCGCCAGCCACUGCUCUUCCUCUUCCCCUUCUCCUUCAUCUUUUACGUUCUCCACUGUUAAUGUGAACAGUGGAAAGCAGCUCAUUACCGGCCUCUGCCAUUUUCACCGCCAGCCACUGCUCUUCCCCUUCCCCUUCCCCUUCGUCUUCUGCAUUCUCCACUGUUCACGUUGCAUGUGAACAGUGGAGAGUAGCUCACCACCGGCCUCCAUUGUUUCCACCGCCAGCCAUUGCUCUUCCUCUUCCCCUUCUCCUUCUCCUUCAUCUUCUGUAUUCUCCACUGUUCACGUGAACAGUGGAGAGCGUCUCCACUGUUCAUGACCGGACCGAGUCAAACCCAAACCUAAAUGCAUUGGACCGGGUCCGACCCAAUAAAAUUAAAAAAAAUCCAAAAAAAUUUCUUAGAUAUUGUGUUUUAUUUGAAAAACUAGUGUUUAAAAUUAUUCAAUGGCACUACAUAAUUAUAUUAGGAGAUCGCAUGAUAACGUAACAUUUGCAUAAUUUGAUUGCAAUCCCAAUUUUGUUCCUAAUGAUAUUUUACCCAAUGUGAUGAUAUUUUACCUGAUGUUGGUGCACAUUCAGGAAGCCAUGAAAACUAUAGUUCUUGUCGGAUGGAUUUCGUACGUGAUUGAAUUGCAAAUAGUUUAAUAAAACAAUAAAAAAUACUUUAUAUAAAGUAUUGUUUAUUUCAUGAUUUAAUAGCAGUAGUUAAAUCUAUAAUAUUUCAAUUAAAAACCAUCAAUAUUAAUAUAUGUUUUUUUUAAUUAUUUUAUAACCUUAAUUUGAAAAAUAUUCUUUAAACCAAACACAUUAAACUACUUUUUGUUCAACCUCAAUUUCAACCACAAUUUUAACCAAAUAUAUAUUUUUUCAAACCAACCUCAACUAAAAGUAAUUUUUAUAAAAACAACUUUUUCAAACUAUAACCACAACAGCUACCACAAUUCCAAAUACACACAAAGAAAACUGUACUGAUAAGCAAGUUAAAGUGCCACCAUUGAUUUAGGAUCUGCUUUAGAUCUUAUAAGGUGAAAGUAAAACACAAGGAAAUGCAUGCAUGCACACCACUAAUCUUUGAUUCUGGCGAGAACAGUGAUGACAACCAUAUAGAAUUACAUUCCAAGAUGAAGAAAUUAAUAACAGAGCAGUGCUAUAAAGCUAAAUGUGAGAACCAGAGAUUAAUAAGCAAUGCUGAAAAUUUUAUCAUGCAUAAGAUGAGAGAAGCAUAGGACAGAUUUUUCCCUCAAAUGAUUAACUAGAAUACGAGUUGCACUUCAAUUUUAAAGCUGAAAGAUGAAACAAUCAUACAAGCUCACACCUCUAUAACAGAGUGACAGUUCAUGGUGACCUCAAAGACUGCAUCAAGUCCUCCAAGCUCUCGUAACUUUUCCUUAAAGUCCCCCCCCAGUCUUCCUUGCCAUGCCAGAUGUAUCUGAAUGAAUGCAACCCAUACAGUGAAAUAAAUAAGCAAUCAGAAAAGGAGAGAGAGAGCUGUGUGAAUAAAGAAUUGUCACAAAACUAGAUGAUGGCGACCACAUAUCAAUAAUUCGAGACAUGACGUGGGGCACUUUCAUCGUGAUUAUUGUCUGUACAAUAAUGUUUGAUGCAUUAUUUCUUGUUAAGACUUUUUAGGUUGUGAAAAGUCCAAGAUGUAGCUUUUGAUUUUAUCAUUUAUAUUAAAUUGAAAUUUUGACAUAAAAUUCUAAAGAUUUUGUGGUUAAAAUUUCAAGAUCUUCGAAGAAAGACCUUUAAAUAAGGAUUUAAAGUUAUUAUGAGAUGGUCUUUAUUUACCUAUUUAGAUUUUUUUAUUUAUAUUAAAAAUUUUAAUUCAAUUAGUAUUUUACUAUUUAAAAAUUCUAAUAAUAGAUUGAUUAUAUUAAUAAUACAAAUUAUUUUUCUAUACAAAAUUUUAUUUCUAGAAUUAAUAUAAAUAAAAAUAUUUAGUUUAUUUUUUUGUUCAGGAUUCAUAUUAUUAUUUAGAUUUUUUAUAAAUAUUUAGAGAUUUUUUUUAUUUUGCUACUGUGUUAGGACUAUAACUUUAAGGUUUGGGUGUUUGGGAAAGUUAUAGCGGUUACGUUUUAAAGUGAUUUUUAUUUAAAAAUACAUCAAAAUAAUAUAUAUUUUUUAUUUUUAAAAUUAAUUUUUGACAUCAAAACAAUGCAAAAACACCAAAAAAUUAAUUUGAAAAAAAAUUAAAAUUUUUGAAAACCUUGAUUAAAAUGUUGUACCAAACACCCUCUUAGUUUUAUCUUAUUUUUAAAAAAAUAAUUCUUAACAUUAGCAAUCAAAACAAUCUAAAAACAAAAAAAUAAUUUUAAAAAAAUCAAAAUCUUUAAAAACUCCCGUCUAAAUGUUUCCUUUUAGUUUUAUCAUUGUUGCACUGCGUAAUGAUGCUCAAAAGGAAAUAGUUGAUAUAGCCGUACUUGGGGUAUUUAAGAAUGUGAUAGCGGUUACUUUUUAAAAUGUUUUUCGUUUAGAAAUGUAUCAAAAUAAUAUUUUUUUAUUUUUAAAAAAUUAUUUUUGAUAUCACCAUAUCAAAAUGAUAUGAAAACACUAAAAAAAUAUUAAUUUAAAGUAAAAAAAAUAAAAAAAAUUAAUCUUUUAUUAAAAUAUUUUUGAAAUACAGAAAUACUACGAGCUCUCAACCUGCUACAAAUAACUGCUGCAAUGGCCUUUCUUUAAUAUUUUACUUACACCAUUCUGCAAAAUAUUUUCUUUUGUACAUCCAUGGAACCCUCUUUGCCUUCUACACAAAUUCAAAGUCCAUGCUAAAAACUACAAAGAAAUGAUCUCUACCUUUCCAAAAGUUAAAGGCUUUUGGUACUUUCCGUCCUUCUUGGGAACACUCAUCUCAGUUCAAGCAAUCCACUGAUAUAUUUGUCGUCAGCUUCCAAAAACGAAGGAAAUCUUUGGUUAAGUUAAAACUCCUUUUCUCCUUCAACAGUGAAAUUCACGUGCCUUUCACACCUUUUUAAGUUCGAACAUUUCAUUUGUUCUUGUGCUCUAAAUUGAGUCUUUUUUGUGAGUUCUAUUAUUCUACUGUGUUUGGUUUAGCUUUUGUAGUUGAGGUUGUGGUAGGGUACAUGUACAAAACUCAACCACAAAAGCUAAUUUUUCUUGUUUUUUAUGGCUUUUUUAGUGGGUUCCACACUCAACCUCAACCUCCAUCUCAAAUACAAACACACACUAAAAGAUUAGAAAACGCAAGAUUGCAUCAAUGCUAAAAGCAAUUUCAAUCUCAAUGUGUGUGUCAAAUGCAUGGUGAUGUUUCAUGAUAUGUUUGUUUUGACGUUUCAAAAAUAUUUUUUUUAAACUGAAUUUUUUUAAUUUAUUUUUCGCUUCAAAUUAAUAUUUUUUGUUUUUUCAGAUUAUUUUGAUGUACUGUUGUUAAAAAUAAUUUUUUUUAAAUAAAAAAUAUUAUUUUAAUACAUUUCCGAGCAAAAAUCACUUUAAAAAAUAAUUGUUAUUACACUUCCAAACACAUCUUUAAAAGGACAAAGUUAUGGAGUUGAGGGCUCUAAAUAUUCCUCAAAAUAUCUGGCCUCAAAGCUAUUAUCGAGUCUUAAAGCUUUUGCUUUUUAUAUUGUUUUGAUGUAAAAAAUAAAUUUUAAAAAUAAAAAAAUAUUAUUUUAAUAUAUUUUUAAAUAAAAAAAUAUUUUAAAAAACAAUUACAGUAAAAUAACAAAUAAAAUAUUAAUAUGAAAUAAAAUCUAAUUCUACCAGCAGACAGCUGAUAAGAAUACUAAAAGAGUGUAAAUUUUGACUUAAUUCAAUAUUUCAAUUAUUAGAAUUUGGGGCAGCGUAACAGUGUCAAAGAAAAUGUCAGAAAAGUAAGGAAAACAGUACAAAUACCUUGGAUGAUGGUGACCAAAUAUUUGUAAUUUGAGACAUCUCGUUCUUGAAAAGAAUAGUUAAUAGUGCCAAUAAUAUUUUUUUUUAUUCACGUGACGGGUGAGCUUGUGUGUAUCUCGAUUAAUUCCCACGAAUCCUGAAAUUAAUGAUCAGGUAAGUUUCCAGUGGUCAUCAAUAUUAACAACCAUAUGGCUCGAACCUGAGACCACAAGGAGGAGCAAACCUCUUGAUCUCAAACUCUUACUAUUAGACUGCCUAUUAGAUGGUUAGUGCUAAUAAUUAAUCUGCUCUUGACUUGCUACAAAUAGCUGUCAUGAUCACAUAUUCAAAAAACACUAGUUUAUAAAUUCUAAGGGUAUCUCAACUAGUUAGACUUUAAGUAUGUUUUCCAAUAAUUAUGAGUUCGAGUCCUUUUAAGAUAAUUGAAGGUUUACACGGCGUUAACUUCAGGACCCAUAAAAUUAAUCGAGAUAUAUACAAGUUGAUUCAGAUAACCAUAUUAAUUUAAAAAAACAAACACUAGUCUAGAAAAGCAAUAUACAAGGUGAUUUUUUAGUUGACUAGUUGAAUCUGAUUUUUAUAAAAAGUAAUAUUUUAGAAGAUAAUUUUUAAUAAUUUUAGAUUUUUUAAUAUAUAAAUAUCAAAAAUAAAUUUUAAAAAAUAAAAAAAUAUUAUUUUAAUAUAAUUUUAAAUAAAAAAACAUUUGAAAAAACAAUUAAUAGUAUACUCUCAACUACCCCAAAAUAUAGGAUUAAAUUGGAUUGCGGGUUCCCCACCAUUUAAAGCUUGCAAAGAAGGAUUUGAAACACAAUCACCCUAAAGAUUUGCAAAUGGAAUAUAAUAUAAAAUAAUACCCAAUUGCAUCAGCGGACAUGUAAUCAAUAAUAUUAAAAUACGGUAAAUUUUGAUUUAAUUCAAUUAUUGGAUUCUAGGCAGCGUGACAAUGUCAGAAAAUCUUGGAUGAUGGUGACCAAACAUAUCAGUAAUUUGAGACAACACGUUCCCGAAAGGUAAUAGUUGAUGGUGCCAAAAUUUAAACCAGCUCUCAACUCGCUACAAAUAGCUGCCAUGGCCUUUCAUUCUACCAUAUAUUUAUUUUUUAACUUUCAUGGAAUCCUCUUUGCCUUCCUCCCAAAUCUUGGAUUCUGAUGGAAGUGCUGAGAGGAAAAAUGAAGCUACAAAUUGCAAUGAAGUGAUGUCCACCCUUCCAAAAGUCAAAGGCUUGAGGGGGGAUGAUUAUUACCUGUACCAAGGCUUUUGGUACGAUGCCUUCUUCUUGGAAGGACUCAUGUCUGUUCAAGAGCACUUCAAUCCUCAAUCCACUGAUAUAUUUGUCGCCAGUUUUCCAAAAACUGGCACAACUUGGCUUAAGGCCCUCACUUUUGCUAUUUUUACACGAUCCCGUUUAAGUGGUUCAACAACUAGUUCUUUACUUACCAAGAUGCCACAUGACUGUGUUCCUUUGUUGGAAAAUGACCUUGCUAAAAACCCCAGUAAUCGGGACUUGGCAAUUCCUCUGCUAUCUACUCAUGUUCCUUACAGUUGUUUACCUAAAUCUAUCAUUUCUUCUAGUUGCAAGAUUAUUUACAUUUGCAGGGACGCAAAGGAUGCUUUUGUUUCUUUGUGGUACUUUCAUGCCACGCUGCAAAGGUCGAAAAAUGUUGAGCAUCUUCCUCUGGAAGAGGCUUUUGAGCUGUUCUGCAAUGGAAUUGCAAAUUUUGGACCAUACUGGA